rnacentral:lncRNA from 1 species
GGUCCCAUGAUGAAUCAGAAGGCUGUGAGAUCAAUGAUGAGCAUGUGUUGGAUGGUCUUCAACCACAUCCUAACUUGAAAACCUUUGUAGUGGAGAACUAUUGGGGGACUAUAUUUCCUCUUGGUUCAAUGAAGAAUUGAUGCCAAAUUUGGUCAUGUUGAAAUUAAGUGGUUGCAAGAGGUGCAAAGAUAAUCUAUCGCUUGGUCAACUGAAGUUCCUUCGGCAUCUUGAGCUGAUAGGAUUCCUUGAAUUGGAAUGCAUUGGACCUACAUUUUAUGGUGUUGAUAAUGGAUCAAGCAGCAAUAAUGGCAAAAUUCAAGUGUUCCCGUCAUUGAAAGAACUAGUAUUGAAGGAUAUGCAUAGCCUAAUAGAGUGGAAGGGAGAUGAAGUUGGAGUAAGAAAUGUUUCCUGGGCUUGAGAAGUUGACAAUUACAGAGUGUUCACUGUUAAAAAGUGCUCCAACUCAAUUGGAAACCCUGCGUGAAUUAGAAAUUGAAAGAGUUGACAGUGAAAUGCCAUUGUUGAACUUGUGCAGCAACUUAACAUGUCUUGUGGAUCUCGAUGUCAGUGAUGUGAAAGAGCUCACUUGUCUACCUGAUGAGAUGCUACGCAAGAACGUUUCUCUUCAACGCCUGUGGAUCUCAGAUUGCAGAAAGUUUUGUGAAUUGCCACAGAGCUUGUACAAUCUCCAUUCCCUUGAGAGCUUACGAAUAUCCUUCUGCCCCAAUUUUAGUUCUUUUCCUGUUCCCAGUGGAGAGAAUUAUUUAACUUCCCUCCGAAGGCUUCACUUACUUUAUUGUGAUGGAUUGACCAGUUUACCAAAUGGAAUGCUAGAACAAUGCCGGUCUCUAAAGAUUUUGAGGGUCAGCAACUGUAAGAACUUGGUUUCCUUCCCUUUACAUGUGUGGGAAGUACCUUCACUUUCCAUUUUGGAUAUGUCAAAUUGUCCCAAAUUGAUUAGUCUACCCACAGGAGGCCUUCACCAUCUCACUGGGUUAUGGGAUUUGAAAAUUGGUCCUUUCUCAGAGAUUGUGGAUUUUGAGGCAUUCCAAUUGAUUUUUAAUGGCAUUCAGCCGCUAUUGUCCCUUCAUACGUUGUGGGUGUACGGACAUGGGCACUGGGAUUCUCUUCCCUAUCAGCUUAUGCAACUCUCUUCCCUAAUUGAGAUCAGAUUAAGUGAUUUCGGUAUCGAUGAUCUUCCUCAUAGUCUUUGCAAUCUUACUUCUCUUGAAACAUUACAUCUAGUGGGGUGCAAACGGCUACAACAUGUGGACUUCAGAGAUGCCAUGCCCAAAUUACAUUAUCUUGAGAUCUGUGGUUGUCCAUUGUUAGAAGCUCUGUCGGAUGGGCUCAGCAACCCUGUUUGUUUGGAAAUGUUAAUUUUUUGGAACUGCGAAAUACUGGAGCGUCUGCCAUCCAGAGAUGUCAUGCGAAGCCUCACGAAAUUACAGUUCCUGAAAAUUAAAGACUGCCCACAGUUAGAAGAAAGUUGCACCAAUUGGAGUAGCCCAAACUCCCAGUGGUCCAACAUUUCCCAUAUUCCAAAAAUUAAAGUAGGUGGGAGGAUAUUCAGAACUUAACAAUUUCAAAUUUCAAAAUUCUAUUCCUGCUCAACACAAAUGAAGAACCCUAAUUUUUCCCUAUAAAUACUUACAUUUCAGAGCUUAUUUGGGAGGAUUUUUUUCAAAAUCUGGCAGCCCCUCACCUCUAAAAUUUUUAGUUAUUUCUCCUCUAAACCAUCUCUUCUAUUUUCGUAUUUUACCAUUUUCUUUGGCAUUCCAGUCGCAGCAAUAGUUUGUGUGUUCGUUUCGACCAUUAACGGUGGUCAUCAGAGUUAGUAAGUAGAUCUAAGAUCGAGACCGCAAGCCCCCGUUCACUACCCCGCAGCAGGUGAUCUUUGUCCCUUUACUUUUACUUCUAUUAUUGUCUCCGUGAAAAUGUUAUACCUAUUGUAAGAAAAACCAUGCGUCAAGUAUAAUACUCACUUAUUUUUAGCUAUCAUGAAAGUGAUGUUUAAAAAUUAUGUUUUUUUUUAUUUAGUUUGAGGCCUGGAGAGAUUUGAGUUCAUAUCUCCUUCACAUUUUAAUUUAAAGAAUGAUUUGUUUUGGAAGGGGUUGGUGAUAUGUAAUCUGUUUUUGGUUCAAAGUUUGGUAUUUAUUUGUAUCUCUAUGUGAUAAAUAGAUAUUGUUUUCGCUAUUCUUAUGUUUUAAGAUUAUUAUGUUGUGUUGAGAAUCAUGUCAUAGAUAUAUCUAUUUAUUUGUUUUAUAUGCAGAGAAAUUGAAUACAAACUUGCCGCAUUUAUUAGUAAUCUUGGUAUUUAGAAGCUGUGGCCUUAUUUAUGCUUAAACUCGCCAAUGAAUUUUAAAUUGAAUAAAAAGCAAAAUCCUUGUGCUAAAGUUUAUUGCUAUAUUUUUUUUAUUUUUUCUUUUUCUCAACAGUAUGUAUUAAAAUAUAUUUUGGAAAGAAAAGUUGCUUAUUGGAUUCAGAUUUGGUUCUAAUUUGACUUGUGAAUGCUACUUUUAUAAAUAUUAUAUAUAGUUCGAGCUUUAGUUUCUUCUUACAUUGUAUAUUUGAACCAAAAUGUGCUAUACAUUGUAACUCAAUAAUAUUACCUUAGAGACCUUUCUAUAAUUAACUAAAUAGGCCUUAGAUAUUAAAUAAAUAUAUUUGUUUAUAUAUUGUAUCCAGGUGAAGGUUUUGUUUCUUGUUUAAUAUGUUGUGAUGUGUUGUGAUGAUUGCUAUCCUUUAACGAGAAUGGUAUUGGUUUAAUUUAAAGGCUUUGAGAUAUUUAUUCACUGUAAGCAUGCUUGUAAAUAUUAGUUAAAGAAAUUUUAUUUUCUUCCUAUAGAAGAAUGUAUAAGUUAGUUGGGUGUUACAAUUUAUUUCAUACUUACUAUUAAGGUACUUGUGUUGGAAUUGAAUAAAUAGAAUGUAUAUUUGUUUCACCUAUUAGUUACCUGCAUGUCUAAUCCUUUUAUUUCUCUUAUUGUUGUACAUGUACACUUUGGGAGGAAAAAACGGAGUUUUGAUUAGGACUCUACCAAUUAUUGAGUCUCAUAGACUCAACAUUAUCCUCACACUUGCACAUGGAGUCUUCACUACAUCUUUUGACCAUUCGAAAUUGCAAGCAAAACAAGUGGUCCUAUCUUGGAGUCACUUAUGGCUACUUACAUUUUGCAUUAAUUGUUUACGUGUUUUUCUUUACGUGUUAUACUUGCUUGUGUGAUUUAGAUAUUUCUAGUUUGGAUUCAUGAUAAUUGACUUAAUAUAGAUGUUUGGAUUUGGGUUCCUUUAGUUAGAAACUAAACCUUAUUAGUUACUUUACCUUUUAUAAACUUCAUUUGGCAAACCUUUUUUAAAAAAUACUUCUUUUUGCACCAUUUUAAUCUCACUAGAUUUAUUAAGUUUGGUUCAAACUUGGCAAUGUCUUACAAAGAAAAUUUGUUGUUCUAAACUCUUAUUUUUCUAAAACUUUUUCUAACGGGAGCACCUUGUCAGUCAAUGAGCAAGUGUCUAUUUUUUUAAUUACUUAUUUUUAGCCAUGGAUUUUUAGCCACGGAUUUAAGAUUUUACUCUUUCUUAAAUCUUUUUCAUUCUAAUAAAUUGCAAAAGAGCUUUUAAAAUAAAAAAUGUUUUCCAACUUGGUUAUUCAAUCACUUAAUAUUUAGCACUCAUAUCUUUCUUUUAAAAUUAAUUAACCUAAGUUUGGUCGGUAAUCGUAUUUUUAACGAAUCUUAAAGGAUGCCUUACCCCCUUCCCUUUAGGAUAAUUAGAACCCUUACCUAGAAUCUUAAGUUUUAGUUUUACUUAGUUAAAUAUUUAGGUGUCCUAAUUCACCAUAAUUAAUUAGGUGGCGACUUCUUAAGUUAAUUAAUUUGGAAAUCACCAAUAUGUUGUACACGUUUUGACCUCGAGUUAAUGAGGUAUAGCACACACCCCCCUAAAGUUAGGUGUGGUGCAACAACGCCUAACUUGGAUAAACACCAAAAGAAGGCAGGCUUGGGUAGCGGCUUUGUGAGAGUGUCUGUAAUUUGAUCCCCGACCAUAACAAACUUAGGUUAAUAAUUAAGUUUUUAACAUCUGUUUGUUUCAUUUUUGUUGUGUGUUUUAAUGCCUAAAUGAUUUACUUAUCAUGCUUAUGUGAAUAUAAACUGCUUAUUUGUAGUAGCUUUAUAUAAAUUGUUUAUUUGUUACUGUUAUGAAACACCAAUAUUAUCACAAAAAAAUCUUGGCGUUUGCGAGACUUGAUAUCGUAAUUCAGUCAAUAGAUUGUGUACCCAAGUAAGUUCAGAGAGUGCAUUGGCUACCGAUUUGUAUUCUGCUUCAAUAGAGGACCGAGCAACUAAUUGUUGCUUUUUAGAGGACCAACAGAUCAGAUUUGGUCCCAAGAAGAGUAUGUAACCAGAUGUGGAUAUUCUGUCAGAGGGAUCACCUGCCCAAUCAGCAUCGGCGUACAUAUACAUAUUACUAUUAGAGUGGCUAGAGAUUUGUAGGCACGACGUUGAUGAUGCCUUGAGGUAUCGAAACACCUUUUUUACUGCUUUCCAAUGCUCCAGACUUGGGGAUUGCAUAAACUGUGAUAGUUUGUUAACUGCAAAGGCAAUAUCAGGACGCGUGAAUGAUAAGUAGUGCAAUUUACCAAUGGUGCGUUGAUACAAGGUUGUAUCGGCAUGAGGUGAACCAUCGGCUGCUUUGGGUGGUAAACUUGAGCACAUGGGUGUCGUAACUCCUUUACAGUUGGCCAUAUCCACAUCUCAAGUAUGUAUCUGGAUUGUGAAAAGACAAUCCCAUUUGGAACAUUUUGACUUCGAUCCCCAAAAGAUAGUUGAGUUCACCCAGGUUCUUUAGAGAGAACUUGUAAGCCAGAGAGUUGAUUACAUGUGUGACCAAGUUUGGGUAAUUCCCAGUAAUGAGGAUAUCAUCAACAUACAAUAGAAUAUACAUCGUGACAGCUUCAGAUGUAAAAAUAAACAGAGAAGCAUCUGAUUCAGACUUAACAAACCCAAUUUUAGUCAAGUGAAAUUUGAGAGCUUCAUACCAUGCACGAAGAGCUUGUUUUAGGCCAUAAAUGGCCUUUUGGAGAUGGCAGACAUGAUUGGGAAAAUCAGGGUUGACAUAGCCUUUCGGCUACGCCAUGAAUACUUGCUCCUGUAAGUUACCUUACAAAAAUGCAUUAUUUACGUCAAGCUGCUGCACUUUCCAAUUAUUUUGAACUGCAAUAGAAAGUACAAUUCUGAUGGUGGUUGGUUUGACAACCGGACUGAAAGUUUCAUGAAAGUCCAGUCCUGGACAUUGUGUGAAACCUUUUGCAACUAAUUGCGCCUUGUAGCUGUCAAUAGAACCAUCAUCUUUCCUUUUAAUGUGAAAUAACCACUUACAAUCAACAACAUUAUUUAUCGGGUCCCUAAGUACUAGUUCCCAAGUUUGGUUUUUCAUUAAGGCUUCAUAUUCCAGAUCCAUUGUAUUCUUCCAUUCAAUGUGCUUAACUGCUUGCUUAAAGGUAUUUGGAGUGGGAGAAAGGUAGGACAAGAAGCUGAAUUUUUUCUUUGGUGUGAAGAUAUUAUUUUUGGACCUUGUGACCACACCGGAUGGUGGAGGGACAGCAACUGGUGACAUAAUUGUUAGCUGUUGCGGUGGAUGUUGGUUGAUUGGUGGCCGACGGGAAUAAUAUAAUGGUUGAGAGGUGUUGUGGGCUGCUUCAUUAAAUAGUGAAUGAGGUUGGGAAGAGAUAAGAAUCAUACCUGAUGAAGUGGAGACUGCUGGUAGUUGCCUUUCAAUUAUGGACUCUGGAGUGUUUGAAUGAGAGGGAACUGUUAGGGUGAUAGGAAUAGGAGGCGGAAGAGUUGGAACAAGAUUGAAGUCCAAAUUUAAUUGGACUUCCGGAUGAGUAUCCUUACCGACUUGGGACUCUAUGAUUUCCCAUUAUAACGUGGAAAACAUAUUUUUCAAGUGUGAGAACAUUUGAGUGAAAGGAAAAAUAUCUUCACAAUAUUGAACAUCACGACUGACGAAAAUUUUUGAGUGCAUAGGAUUAAAGCAGAGGUGUGCAUGAUGAACAAUAGAAACUCCUAAGUAGACACACAGUGUAGAUCUAGGCUGAAAUUUAUUUUUUGUAUAUGGCUUAAGCCAUGGAUAACAUAGACAACAAAAAAUUUUCAGCGAAGAGUAUUUUGGCGGUUCGCCAAACAAUUUUUUAUAAGGAGAAUCAUUAUUCAAGUCAGGUGUAGGUAGUCUAUUUAUGAGAUAGACAGCAUGGUGACAGGCAAAUGACCAUAGUUUAGAUGAUAGUGAGGCUUCAUUGAGAAUAGUUCGAGUUGUUUUGACAAUGUGACGAUGUCGUCGUUCAGCAAUUGCAACUCAUUGGGGCGUGUAGGGUGGGGAGAUCAAAUGUUGAAUGCCAUGGCAUUGUAGGUACUGUUUAAGACUUGUGUAUUCAUCCCCUCCAUCAGUAUAAAGUGAGACAAUUUUGUGUUUGGAAAUUUUUUCCACUAAAGGAUGAAAGUUUGUAAAAAUUGAAGCGACUUCACUUUUGUUUUUGAUUGUAUACAACCAAGUGUAUUUGGUGUAAUGAUCAACAAAAAUGCAGUAAUACAACUUUUUAUCAAUGGAUAAAAUGGGUGAUGGACCCCAUAAAUCACUAAACAAAGUUUGAAGUGGUGCAUUACUAUUUAAAGUGAGUCGUUGAAAUGGCAAACGAUGAGCUUUAUUUGAUGAGCAUGAAUUACAAAAAUGAAACUUUUCUUUGGUGGAAAAGGGAAGUGAAAAUUUAUUCAGUACUAAGUCUAGGAUUUUCAGAUAACGGUGACCCAAGCGACGAUGCCACAAUUGACGAGAAACUUUGGUGGAGGUGAAGUUGGCGGAAGGUGACACAUGAUCCCUCUGUGGCCACUCAUAGAGUCCGUGUUUAUUCUAGCCUUGUACCAGCAGUCUCCGAGUUUUGAGAUCCUUCACAAGAAAUGAGUGUGGGAAAAAUUCGAUUGAGGUCAGAUUGUCAGUGCAAAACUUAGCAACAGAAAUAAGGUUCUUUUUGAUAGCUGGAGCACAAAGAGUGUUAGAGAGCAUGAAAUUGGAGUUAGAAGCCUUAAUUUGAGUAAAAUCAGUGUGAGUAAUAAGAAUAGUUUUACCGUCACCUAUGGACAUUUCCUCAUUGCCAGUGUAUUCUUCAAGAUUAUCUGACUCAAUUGUGACAUGAUGAGUUGCUCCAGAGUCGAUGAUCCAAGGAUUUGCAUUUGAGUGAUGAUUUGACACAAAGUUGACCUUAGCUUCAAAGUGGUUGUGCGAUUUUGAGCGACACACAUCAGCUGUGUGACCGAUCUUUUGGCAAAGUUGGCAUUUUACUGCUUGCCUGGGUAGUCUCCCAUUCUGUUGAUUUCCAGGGACCGCCUGUCGUGGAGCUUGUGGUCUUGAAGAUUGAUUUGGGAAGCGAUGAUUAUUUUUUGAUGUUGGGGCUGGAAGUUGGUCCUUUGUGCAACUGCAGCUGUAAUGAUAGAGGAUGACCUGUCAAUAUCUUGAUGUUUGAGAAAGAGUUCAUGGUCCGUGAGUUUCUGGAACAACUCCUCAAAGCUUAGGGCUGUUUCGCGCGCUCUUAUAGCGGCAGUGAUUUCACGGUACUCAUGACCUAGGCCACUCAAAAUCUUGACUGCUAGUUCAUCAUUAUCCACCGGAGAGCCCGUUACUUUGAAAGCAUUAGCAAUUGAUCUGAUCUCUUGUAGGUAAGUAGCAACUGUCUUGGAGGCCUUUUUCAUGUUUUGCAACUGAUCUCGUAAGCUGAAGAUGCGAGUGUGACUCCUAUUGGCAUAAGCUAUAUGAAGGAGAUCCCAAGCUAUUUUUGCCGAAGAGGCAGUUGCAACAAUAGGAGCAAUGGUGGGGUCAACGGAUGCCAUCAUUGCCUGUUGAAUUAGUUGGUCCUGGCAAAACCAUAGCUCAUAUUCAGGAUUGGAGAUGGUACUAUCAGUUUGUGUGAUAGUGGUUGGCGGAGCAGAUUGGCACCAGUGAGAUGCCCAAGGAGCUUGUGUCCAUUGAGUAGCAUCACUAGUUGCGCCUUCCAGGUGCUAAAGUUGAGGUUACCUUGCAGUUUGAUAGGUAAUUGGGCAGCUGGAUUGAACUGUACCACAUGAGUGGUAGUCGGAACUGCAGCAGCCCUAUCAUUGGUGGUAGCAGGAACAACCAUGUUUGGACGCAAAGAGAGGAAAAAAACUUUGGAUCGGACUCGUGAGAGAGGGGGUCUAAUACCAUAAGGAGAUUGAGAAUCAAAGCAAACUUGAAUGAAUCUUAUUCAAAUGUUACAUAACUUAAAUACAGGUAAGACGUAACUAACUUGACUAAUUCUAAGGAACUGUUCUAACAACUUAAUAUGUAACUAAGUUGACUAAAACUAAGGAACUACUUUAACAACUUAAUCUAAAUCUACUCUAACAACCUGAUAAGAAUUAAUAACAAACUAACAAACUAGUGAGUAUGUCAACAAUAACUUUUAUGAAUAGAUGACACACUUGUCGUUACUUUCACUUCACAGGACAAUUUCUCCGUUCAUUAAACUUUCGUCAUUGAUGGACUUCAACAGAGAUAGUUGUCAUGAAUCAUUUAGCAAAUAAUGCCCCAUUGGCUCUUAAAAUGUCCUUAGCAACAUCUGCUCAUCUUAGCAGGUCUUGCGUUCUCCUUUUUUUAGUGGUUACUUGUAAUGAUUUUCUUCUCCAUUCUCCCAAGGAGGAAACGUGUGCCAAAACUGACUUUUUACCAUUUCUGGAAUUAUUUCAGAUUCAUGUUUGAAACACGAGCAUGGACCUCGUCGAAAUGGUACUUGUGUUAGAUGUGUUACAGUUUCAUAAUUGGCAAGGGAAAUUGCAUUCGGUAAACUCGUUUGCAUUUGGCUGAAACUGGAUUUGAGAUAUUAUAUCCUUGAAUGUGGAAAAUCCCGGAAGUGAAACUAGUAGACCUUUGAUGUUGGUCUAAUUCUAAACUGAAUUAACUGGUAGUGUUGAAUAGCAUUCAAAGUAGAAAGAGCAACUUAUGCAAGUCACUUUGCUAGAUUUCUCAGCCAUGGUUGUAUGCUGUAGAACAACUUGUGUCUUGAGAUUUUUAUUUUAGUGGUCUCUCAGAAUUGCCUUGCACGUUUAUUCCAAAAUACCUAAUACAAAUUUUGUAUUGCAAAUGAUAAAUUUUCAAAGACACAUAUAUUGUUAGAUUUUUUUUAUGUUAUAAAAUAACAAUCAAAACAUACAAAAAAAUUACAACUUUUUCACAGCAUAAGUUUAUAUGUUUAUAUCUCUACUCUGCUUAUUCAACCAAGAUUUCCAUCUAAGGUAUGCCCAUUACACCAAAAUAACAACUUUUUCGCAGCAUGAGUUUAUAUGUAUCAUAGUAUACCUUAAGUUAUGGCAUAUGCCCCUGAUAUUGAAAUAACAAAUAACUUUCCCAUGAUACAAGUUUACAUGUUUGUAUCAUAAUAUUCCACAAGUUAUGUUGUAUGCUAAGAGCCGGGAGGGCAUAAUGCAAAAAAUAAAAUAAAAUAUAAACCCAAUUUUUUUCUCUAAAAAGGAUAAAGAAUGCAUAUGCCCCAAAAGCAUAACUCCAGUUUCUGAACACUACAACAAAUUUUAGAAAAAACUACACAACUUAUGUUGGAAUAUUUAAUUUAUACAGAACUUAUGCCAAGCGAAGCAAAAGUUAUUUAAACUUAUGCUGAGCGAAUUAGGUCUCGACAGAUAUAUUUUGGUCCCCCAAAUUUUCAUAAUUAAACACCAGUCUGUUUGAAGGGCAAUACGUGCAAAAACUUGAUUUGAAUGUGACUUCCUUUUUGGUAUCCUUAUUUUCUUGUGGCAGACUCAUAACAGACUGUCAUUCAUUAGAAAUAAAAACAACACACAAAUUAUUUAUUUAAAGGAUGAUUAGCUGUUAAUCCAAAAAAAACAUUCUUUAUUCAAAUUAUUCUCUUUCUUGUAGAGGCCGGCAAACAACUAGCAAAAGAAUACUUAUGCAAGAAAUUUGAGAAGAUUUGGUGUAUAGAGGAAGAAAACAACUUUGUAAAGAGCAUUGCAACGAUGGCCGAUCUUGUAAUUGGUGCUACUGUUAAAGUUGUGCUUGAUAAGCUGCUUUCUCUCACUAUUGAGGAGGCCAAGAGUUUAAGGAACUGCAAGAAAAAUCUAAGAAUGUUGACAAAAUAUGUAUCCAUGAUCCAAGCUCUCAUUCAUGAUGCUGAAAGAUGACAAGUUGAUGAUCAGGCUGUUGAACAAUGGCUCAAAAUGCUUGAGAGAGUUGCUGAAGACGCUGAAAACGUGUUUGACGAAUUCAGAUAUGAAUAUCUCAAAGCACAAGUGAUGAACAUCCGAACCAAACUAAUGGAAAAGGUCAGCAACUUCUUUUCUCAUACUGUUUUUAAGUACAAAAUGUCUGAAAAAAUCAACAACAUCAAUGAAGAGUUGAGGGCUAUCAAUCAGUUAGCCAAAGACCUUGGUCUCCAAUCACUGAUGGUUCCUUCUCGGAACAUAGUACCAAUUCGAGAAAUAGAUUCCGUAGUUGUUGCUUCGGAUGUUGUUGGUAGAGACAAAGAUAUUGCUGAAAUAAAGGAGAAGAUUUUGAACAUGAGAAAGGAAGUUGUUCUGUGCACCAUUCCCAUAGUGGGUAUGGGUGGUUUAGGGAAAACAACUAUGGCUAAGAGAAUUUUCAGUGACAAACACAUCAAGCAGCAGUUCGAAAAGAGAGUUUGGUUGUGCCUACCUGAAAUGUCAGAAUCUAAGAGCUUUCUUGAACAAAUCCUUGAAUCAUUGACAGAGAGGAAAGUUGAGGUUCAAAGGAGAGAUUUAAUAGUUAAGAAGCUACAAGAUGAAUUGGAAGGAAAAAAGUAUUUGCUUGUCCUAGAUGAUAUGUGGCGUGUUGACUCUACAUCGUGGCAUGAGUUCGUGGACACCUUGAAAGGAAUAAAUACAUCCAGAGGAAACUGCAUUCUUGUGACUACUCGUAUGAAGCAGGUGGCAUCCAUAGUAGCAGAAGAUCUUCAUAUGUUGAGAAGAUUAGCAAGAGAUCAUUGUUGGUCCAUUUUCAAACAAAGAGCGUUUGUCGGUGGGAGGUUCCGAAGGCGGAGGAAAUACUGAGCGUGGAGACCAAGAUUGUUGAAAUGUGUCAAGGUCUGCCGUUGGCUGCAAGUGUGUUGGGAGGCCUCUUAUGCAACAAGGAAAAACAUGAAUGGCAGGCAAUUCUUGAUGGAAACCACCUUGUUGCAGGUGAAGAUGAUAAAGGGGAAAAUAGCAUAAAGAAAAUCCUAAAACUCAGCUAUGAUUAUCUACCAUCUCCACAUCUGAAGAAAUGUUUUGCUUACUUUGCUAUGUUUCCAAAAGAUUUUGAGUUUGAGAAGGACCAACUAAUCCAACUCUGGAUGGCAGAAGGGUUUCUUCGUCCAUGUCAAGAGACCCCCGUGAUGGAAGACGUCGGGAACAAGUUUUUCCAACUCUUGUUGCAAUAUUCCUUGCUGCAAGAUGUUAAGAUAGAUGAGCUCAACAAUAUAACACAUUGUAAAAUGCAUGAUCUUGUGCAUGAUUUGGCUGAAGAUAUUUUAAAGUCUAAACUAUUUGAUCAAAAGAGUGUUAGAGGAGAAAAUCUUUCUCAAGUCCGAUACUUUGGAUGGAACUCACCAAGUGAUCAAAUGGAUAUGAUAAAUGAGCCAGGACGUUUGUGCACAUUGUUCUGGAAAAGAAAUCUAUCUGAAGAUAUGCUAUUGAACUUUCAGUUCUUGAGGGUUUUAAAUUGUCCAGGUCAGGCAUCAAGGAGUUAUCAGCCAAAAUCGGCAAGCUAAUAUACCUGAGGUAUCUUGAUCUCUCCGACACGCAGAUCGAAGCCUUGCCCAAUUCCAUUUGCAAGCUCUACAAUUUGCAAACAUUUAGAGUCAAUGACUAUUCUUCACUCAGGAAGCUUCCAGAAGAAAUGGCAAAUAUGAUAAGUUUGAGACACAUAUAUUGCAGCUAUCAUUACAAAUUUGAUAUGCAGAUACCACUUAAUAUGGGACAAUUGACUUGUGUUCAAACCCUAGAGUUUUUCAAGGUGGGUUCAGAGAAAGGUCGUCGAAUAGAAGAAUUAGGUCAUCUGAAAAACCUUAGAGGUGAAUUGACGAUCAGAGGUCUGCAAUCAGUCAGAACUAAAGAAGAGGCUCGAGCAGCAUAUUUACAGGAGAAACCAAAUAUCUACAAGCUGACAUAUUUGUGGUCCCAUGAUGAAUCAGAUGUAUGUUAGAUCAAUGAUGAACAUGUGUUGGAUGGUCUUCAACCGCAUCCUAACUUGAAAACCUUAGUAGUGGAGAACUAUUUGGGGACUAUAUUUCCUUCAUGGUUCAGUAAAGAAUUGCUACCGAAUUUGGUCAUGUUGAAAUUAAGUGGUUGCAAAAGGUGCAAAGAAAUUCCAUCGUUUGGCCAACUGAAGUUCCUUCGGUAUCUUGAGCUGAUAGGAUUCCUUGAAUUGGAAUGCAUCGGACCUACAUUUUAUGGUGUUGAGAUUAAUGGCAAUAUCCAAGUGUUCCUCUCAUUGAAAGAACUUGUAUUGGAGGAUAUGCGUAGCCUUAUUGAGUGGAAGGGAGAUGAAGUUGGAGAAAGACUGUUUCCCACGCUUGAGAAGUUGAGGAUUACAAAGUGUCCACUGUUAAAAAGUACUCCAACUCAAUUUGAAAUCCUGCGUGAAUUAAGAAUUGAAGGAGUUGACAGUGAAAUGCCAUUGUUGAACUUGUGGAGCAACUUGACAUCUCUUGUGAAUCUUUUUGUCAGUAACGUGAAAGAGCUCACUUGUCUACCAGAUGAGAUGCUACUGUUGAAAAGUGAUUCAUAUACUUGACCAAGUCUUCAGGAGUUUGUUAGUUAGUUUCCUUUAUCUUAGCAUGUUUAGAUAUUGUGGCAGAUUAGUAGCUAAUUAGUAGUUAGUGGUUUAGUGGACCUAGAUUUUAGUAUUUUCUGUUUUACAGUAAGCCUAUUUAUAGGCAGACUUGUUGCUUCCAUUAUAAAUUAGAAACAAAACUUUGCAGUAGCUUUUACUUCUGUUUUUUGCUAUAUUUUUCUGUUCACUUUCUCCUUUACUUCCUUUUUUCUUUCCAACAAAUCUGGUAUCAAGAGCAAGGUUCCUUUCUGGAAAGUGUGAGGAAAAAUGGCAGUAAAUGGUAUUUCAUCAUCUUCCCAACAACUCAUGCCAAUUUUUACUGGUGAAAAGUAUGAGUUUUGGAGUAUCAAAAUGAAAACUCUUUUCAAAUCACAAGGAGUUUGGGAUUUGGUUGAAGCAGGCUUCGUGGAGCAAUCAGACUCUGACGAAGAGACGGAAAAAUUGAAAGAGAUAAAAAAGAAGGAUGCGAAAGCACUAUUCCUGAUUCAACAAGCAGUCCACGAUACAAUUUUUUCAAGAAUUGCAGCAGCAACUACAUCUUCGCAGGCAUGGAAGAUUUUGAAGAAGGAAUUUCAAGGUUCAGCUAAGGUGAUUACGGUAAAAUUACAGACUUACCGUCGUGACUUUGAAACUCUUUCUAUGAAAAGUAAUGAAUCUGUUCAAACUUAUUUGUCUAGAGUUUCUUCUCUUGUUAAUCAAAUGAAGCCUUAUGGUGAAAUCAUAUCUGAAGAAACGGUUGUAGCAAAAGUUUUAAGGAGUCUUACUUCAAAGUUUGAACAUAUUGUUGUUGCGAUUGAGGAAUCUCAUGACUUAUCUGAGUAUACUUUUGAUGAACUAAUGAGUUCUUUGCAAGCUCAUGAAGAGAGGCUCCUAAGAUCGCAUGAAAAAAAUGAAGAGAAGGUAUUCCAGGUGAAGGGGGAGUCCAUUCAUCAGAAAGAUAAGCUAGAAAUCUUUGCAAAUCGUGGAAGAGGCAGAGGUGGUUUUCGAGGAAGAGGCCGUGGAAGAGGCCAAGGAAGAAAUCGAGAUAGAGGAGGAUCAAAUGAAGAGAAGCAGGCUAAGACGUUUCUGUGCAACUACUGCAGAAAAUCAGGUCAUAAAGAAGCUUAUUGUUGGCAAAAACAGAGGGAUGAGAAUAACCAAGCAAGCUUUGUAGAGGAAAAUGAUGAUGACAGUAAGUUGUUCAUGGCCCUUUAUUGUGAAAAAGAAACUCCUAACGAUUUUUGGUUCUUGGACAGUGGUUGUUCCAAUCAUAUGUCUGGAACAAGAUCAUUGUUCAAGGAGCUCGAUGAGUCAAAAAAAUCAGAUGUAAGGCUAGGAGACAACAAGAAGAUUCAGGUUGAAGGUAGAGGUACAGUUAGCAUUAUGACCAGCCAAGGUAAUGCUAAGAUUUUAGAAGAUGUGAUGUUUGUUCCUAGUCUAUCUCAUAAUUUGCUUAGCAUUGGACAACUAAUGAUUAGCGGAUACUCAAUUUUCUUUGACGAUGGUGUUUGCACUAUUAAAAAUAAGAAAAUCUGAGAAAAUCAUUGCUAAAAGUUCCAAUGGCUAACAAUAAAAUGUUUCCUCUAGACGUUUCAAUGGUUGAGAGGUGUGCUAUGGUAGCUAGUGGAGAUAAUGAAACUAGACUAUGGCAUUUACGUUAUGGGGUCAUUUAAACGUUAAUGGAUUGAAGUUAUUGAGUCAAAAGGAAAUGGUUUUUGGUUGCCAAAAGUUGAGAAUCUUGAUUUUUGUGAAAGUUGUGUUUAUGGGAAAUAAAGUAAAAAAUGUUUUCCUAUAAGCAAGUCUUGGAGAGCUUCUGUUUGUCUUGAGUUAGUACAUGCUGAUUUGUGUGGUCCUAUGAGUGUUGAGUCUUUAGGGGGAAGUCGAUACUUUCUGCUUUUUACUGAUGAUUAUAGUCGUAUGAGUUGGAUAUAUUUCUUGAAAUUUAAAUCUGAAACUUUUGACAAUUUCAAGAAAUUUAAAUCUUUUGUUGAGAGACAAAGUGGAUGUAGACUCAAAACACUUCGAACAGAUAGAGGUGGUGAGUUUAUGUCAAAAGAAUUCAGUUCCUUUUGUGAGGAAAAUGGAAUACACAGAGAACUCACAGCACCUUAUACACCAGAGCAAAAUGGUGUAGCAGAACGAAAGAACCGCACAGUUGUCGAGAUGGGCAGAAGCAUGAUGGAAGGUAGAGGUGUACUGAAGUGUUUUUGGGCUGAAGCUGUUGCCACUGCUGUCUAUUUGCUGAAUAUUUCUCCUACUAAGGCAGUGUUUAAUCAAACACCAUAUGAAGCUUGGAGAGGUAACAAGCCCAAGGUAAGCCACUUACGUGUCUUUGGUUGUAUAGCUUAUGCCUUGAUAAAUUCACAAGCUCGACGUAAGCUUGAUGAAAAAUGUGAAAAAUGUAUUUUUGUUGGAUAUAGCACACAAUCCAAGGCUUAUAAGUUAUAUAAUCCAGUGAGUGGUAAGAUUACGGUCAAUAGAAAUGUUGUGUUUAAUGAAGAUGCAAGUUGGAAUUUUAAUUCCACAAAUGAAAGUUCAAACAUUAAGUUGUUGCCUUCUGACGAUAUUAUUGAUCAAGAGUAUGUAGCUGAUCCUUUUUUGGCUGGUCCAUCGUCUACCUCAUCAAUUGCACCAACAACUUCUCCAAUAUUGGAAAAACCUUCCGCUGAGCCAAUUCCAUUAAAAAGAUCAACAAGAGAUAGGAAACAAAAUCCUAGAUAUGCUAACAAUACAUCUUGUACCUUUGCUUUACUUGUUUUAGAUCCUAUCCUCUUUGAAGAUGCUGAAAAAGAGGAUAAAUGGUGCAAGGCUAUGGAAGAAGAGUUGAUGGCUAUUCAAAAGAAUCAGACAUGGGACUUGGUAAAUUUGCCUGAAGGAAAGAAAGCUAUUGGGCUCAAAUGGGUGUUUAGAACCAACUAUCAUGCUGAUGGCAGCAUCUAAAAACAUAAGGCAAGGCUCGUCGCAAAAGGUUAUUCCCAGCAACAAGGUAUUGACUUUGAAGAAACUUUUUCUCCUGUUGCUCGCUUUGAAACUGUGAGAACUUUUUUAGCCUUGGCUGCUAAUUUAAGUUGGCCAGUUUACCAAUUCGAUGUUAAAUCUGCCUUUUUAAAUGGUGAUUUGGAAGAGAAAGUCUAUGUCUCACAACCUGAAGGUUUUGUAGUAAAUGGCAAAGAAGAUAAUGUCUAUAGGUUAAAAAAGGCACUUUAUGGCUUAAAGCAAGCGCCGCGGGCAUGGUACUUCAAGAUUGAUUCAUAUUUCCAUGAGAAUGGUUUUGAAAGGAGUAACAAUGAACCUACUCUUUAUGUAAAACGAGAAGGUAAAAAUGAUUUUUUGGUCGUAUGUCUUUACGUUGAUGAUAUGAUAUAUAUGGGUUCGAAUGAGUCUAUGAUCACUGAUUUUAAGGACUGCAUGAUGAAGAAUUUUGAGAUGUCUGAUUUGGGUCUACUACAUUAUUUUCUUGGUCUUGAGGUGAAACAGGGAAUCGAAGGCAUAUUUCUUUCACAAAGAAAAUAUGCGACAGAUCUUUUGAAAAAGUUUACUAUGGUAAAUUAUAAAGUUGCUGUUACGCCGAUGAAUAUUAAUGAAAAGUUGUGUCGUGAUGAUGGUUCUGAAAUGGCAAAUGCAACUUAUUUUAGAAGUCUGGUUGGUGGUUUGAAUUACUUGUCUCAUACAAGACCAGAUAUUGCUUUCUCUGUUGGCGUUAUAUCGAGAUUUAUGCACAAUCCAAGCAAGCUUUCACCUUGGAGCUGCAAAGAGAGUACUAAGAUAUAUUGCUGGGACAACAAAGCAAUGGAAAUUUGGUAUUCUAAGGUAACAAAUUUCACAUUAACUGGCUUUACUGAUAGUGACUACGCAGGCAGCAUUGAUGAUCGAAAGAGCACAUCUGGUUUCUUGUUUAAUCUUGGGUCUGGAGCAGUUUCAUGGAGUUCAAAGAAGCAGGAAGUGGUCGCUUUAUCAACUUCAGAGGCUGAAUAUAUUGCAGCAACCUCUGCAGCUUGUCAAGCAGUUUGGUUAAGGAGACUUGUUGCAGAUUUUAACCAGAAACCGACUGGUGCAACUGAGAUUUUUUGUGACAAUAUAUCUGCUAUUGCGAUGACGAAGAAGCCAGCAUUUCACAGCAGAACAAAGCACAUUGGUAUUCGCUAUCACUAUAUUAGAGGUCUUGUUUCUACAGGAGAAAUUACUUUGAAGUCUUGUGAUACAAAUGAGCAAGCAGCAGACAUCUUCACGAAGUCACUUCCGCAAGCAAAGCACGAGUUCUUCAAAGGUCAACUUGGAGUUUGCUGUUUUGAAUCAAGGGGGAGUGUUGAAAAGUGAUUCAUAUACUUGACCAAGUCUUCAGGAGUUUGUUAGUUAGUUUCCUUUAUCUUAGCAUGUUUAGAUAUUGUGGCAGAUUAGUAGCUAAUUAGUAGUUAGUGGUUUAGUGGACCUAGAUUUUAGUAUUUUCUGUUUUACAGUAAGCCUAUUUAUAGGCAGACUUGUUGCUUCCAUUAUCUAUCAGAAACAAAAUCCUUGCAGUAGCUUUUUACUUCUGUCUUUGCUCUAUUUUUCUGUUCACUUUCUCCUUUACUUCCUUUUUCUUUCCAACAGCUACGCAACAAUGUUUCUCUUCAACGCCUGUGUGUCUCAGAUUGCGGAGAGUUUCGUGAAUUGCCACAAAGCUUGUACAAUCUCCAUUCUCUUAAGAGAUUACAAAUAUCCAACUGCGCCAAUUUCAGUUCUUUUCCUGUUCCCUGUGGAGAGAACUACUUGACUUCCCUCCAAUUAUUUCAGUUAAGGUAUUGUGAUGGAUUGAUUAGUUUACCAAGUGGAAUGCUAGAGAAAUGCCGGUCUCUAUUGAUUUUGAUCGUCAAAAACUGUAACAACUUGGUUUCCUUGCCUUUACAUGUGUGGGAAAUGCCUUCACUUUGGCUGUUAGAUAUAUCAGAUUGUCCCAAAUUGAUUAGUGUACACGCAGGGGACCUUCACUGGCUCACUGGGUUACGGCAUUUGGAAAUUGGUCCUUUCUCAGAGAUGGUGGAUUUUGAGGCAUUCCAGUUGAUAUUUAAUGGCAUUCAGCAGCUGUUGUCCCUUCGUACAUUGAGGGUGUACGGACAUGGGCACUGGGAUUUUCUGUCCUAUCAGCUUAUGCAACUCUCUGCCCUAACAGAUAUCUAUAUAUUUGAUUUUGGAAUCGAGUCUCUUCCUCAUAGAUUUGACAACCUUACUUCUCUUGAAACAUUAUUGCUAGUGAGGUGCAAACGGCUACUGUUGACACCAAAUUUUGUCCCUCCUCUCUUCUAAUUUAUUUCGUUGAGCUUCUAAGUUGCUAAUAAGUCGAAUACUUUAUAAUUCGCUAUUAUUUUCCACUUAUCUCUAUUGCUAUCGUAAUUAUCUAUAUUACUUUUAUGAUUAUCAUCUUUGUAUUAUCCUUCUCGCUAUUUUAAAAUUAUAUAUUUUAUUUUCGACAUUACUAUUAUUACUUUAUUGUCGUCUUCUUUAAAAUAGAUUGUCGUUACUUUAUUUCAAGUUUCUUACUUACUAAUUUUUUUUUUACAUAAUAUAUAUUAUAUUUGUUAUAAGUUAGAAGCCCAAAAUGAUUUAACAAGAAGAUGGGAAAAGGCCAACAAAUCCAAAACCCAACAAUUGGAUUAUUUUGGUCCAAGAAACGUUUUAGUCAUUCAGCCCAUCUACCCAUUAAUCCAAAUAAUCAGUCAGCUCACAUAAUUUAUCAAUAAUCCAAAAAUACCCUUCACAACUUCAGCCCUAAUUCAAAAUUUCUCAGCAGCAGCCUUUCCAUUCCUCUUCUAGCGUAAAUACAUUUUUUUUCAUAGUCAUGGCAAAAUUUCUUCACCAUUUUUGUGCAAGUUCUGUACACCUACUUUAGCAUAUCAUCAAAAUGUGUAUAAGUCCAAUGCAUAGCAGAUCCGACUUCAGAAAAAGGCUCACUAUUUCGAGCAUAAAUCUGAAGUAUCAUGUGAAGGACACAUUCAUCCAAAUCUCAACGUUGGAUUUCAAACGACUCUCUUUGACCAUGAAUUCAAAAAUCAAAGAUGAAAUCCCGCCCAAAUGUAAACCGAAAUCUUAAAGCCUAUUCUAUAAAUACUUGCCUCUGUUAGCCUUUGAAGGGGGGCGUUUUUGGCUUUGAAAAGAGGAGUUUUCUGCUUACAAAAGAAAUCAAGAACAAGUUUAAGCAUUCUCAAGAACGCUCCUCUCUUAUAUUUGAAUAUCAUCUCACGAAAUAUUUUCUAUUCUAUUCUCUAUUUUUGCUUAAUUUUGUCGGAGGAACGAGAUUAGAUCUUUGAUCAACGACCAAGUUCACUGCUCCACAAAAGGUGAAAAUCUAAACUUAUUCUUAUUUAUUCGACAUCGACGAUUGUUUUGUUGUUAUAAGUCAUGCAUAAUGGAUAUAUCACUCUGUAAAUUUGAUUCAUUUCAAUUUGAACUGUUUACUGUAUAUUCCCAUAUGCUUGCAUAUCAGCCUAGAAAUCUCAACCUAUCACUGGGUGGUUAAGUUUAGUAUAAGAAAAUGCAUACAUUAGGAGUAGAUUUAUAUUUAGUUCAGUGCUACUAUCUGAAAACUCUCUCAACUAACAAAAGAUUUCCACUUUUACUAAAAGUCAUGUCUUAUUAAAUUUCACUUAACAUUCAUUAAUGUACACAUAUGUAUAAAUUAUGUCUGUUAAAAUGUAUUACUUAAGAUCCCUCUAUUGAAGUGGCUUUUCUAAUCAUGCACUAUGUCUUGUACUUUGAUACACAAGAAUAAUGCCAUACUUCUGUACAUGUUAGUCUUUUGUUUUAUAAAUCGAGUUCCGUAUAACUUGCUCUGUUUUUGUACUUUUAUUAACUAUUUGAGAAUCAUUUUUUUCUAACUUUCCCUCCUUGCUCUUUUCUCUGUUUUGCACGCACAUCGAAGCCGAAGAGUCCCCUAUGGGACUCAACGAUACCAUUAUUGCAUGGAGCUUGCAUAUCUUAUACAUGGAGUCGGCACGUCCUUAUUCUUUCCUGCUUCAUACUGUUCAGACCUCUAGUAACGGAGGAGAUCAUUUCCUUAUGUUAAAGUCGCACAUAACUACUAAUUUCCUCAUUUAUUUUAGCUUGUUUUAUUUGAUUGUAUUGAUGUGAUCAACAUUUUAUAUUUGUCUAUGUGUUAUGUGUUCCCUUAUAUGUAAUGACUAAUAGCUAGGCUUUAAUUGGAAUUCCCUUUGACCCUCAUACAGUAGCUAUGAACACUUGCUUUUAUCACAUAAAAUAGAGCCGUUAUUUCUUUAAAAAAAACAAAAAGGCUUAAGAAGCCAACUUUGUUAAGUUAGAAAUAUUCCUUAUUGAAAUUUUCUUGCAGUUACUAAUUUUGGUUUCAAAUACUUUUGUCAAAAUAACCACUAUAACGUUUUCUGCUCCAACUCCUUUUUUUGGGUUUACAUUUACAGAUUUUAUUAUAAAAUUUAUUCCUUAACUUGUAAGUUCUUGAAUUUAUUCGAAGCUUAAACUUUUCCCUCUAAAUUUAGUUAAGUUUACUAGAUCUUCUUUUACUACUUCUAAUACUUCAUUUUUUGAUAAAAUUCCUAUUUCUUAUUAAAUUCAAAUGGAUUCAAGUCAUCAUUAUUCAAUAAACUAAUUUAACUUUUUACAAAACUAUUUUACUUCCACACAUUUUCAACAAGACGAUUUUUCAUAAGAAAUGUUUUUCCGAGCAUUAAUUUUUAAGUUACUUGAGAUUUAGCAUUUAUACAUUUUUACAUCUUCAUGCUUAGCAUUUUAACUCUCCACCUUAGCCUAAUUAAUUAAUCAAGUUCGACCGGUUAACCAUUUUUAAUGGAUCUUAAAGGAUGCCUAACUCCUUCCCUUUAGAUUAGUUGAACCCUUACCUAGAAUCUUAAGUUUAGUAGACCUUAAAAUGAAGUUAACUUUAGAAAAUAACUUUAAUCAAUUUAGGUGUCCUAAUUCACCGUAAUAAUUAGGUGGCGACUUCUUAAAUUAGUCAAUUAACUUUAGAAAUCACCAAAAUGUUGUACACUAUUUUGACCCGGUUAAAAUGGGGUAUAACAGCUACGACAUGUGGACUUCUCAGCUGCCAUGUCCAAAUUACGCAUCUGGAGAUCCGUGAUUGUCCAUUAUUAGAAGCUCUGUCGGAUGGGCUCGGCAAACUUGCUUCUUUGGAAAAGUUAUGUUUAAGGAGCUGUGAAAAACUAGAACAUCUGCCAUCCAGAGAUGCCAUGCGACGCCUCACUAAAUUACGGAAUCUGGAAAUUGGAGGCUGCCCAAAGUUAAAAGAAAGUUGCACCAAUCGGAGUAUCCCAAAACUCCCAGUGGUCCAACAUUUCCCAUAUUCCAAAAAUUAAAGUAGGUGGGAGGAUGAUUCAGAACUUACGUAAGUCUCUGUUUCUCUUUCACUGUCUGAUCAGUCAAUUUUUUAAAUAUUAAUUUCCCUGUGUUCCAGAAAAGAAGUUCUGUAUGUGGUUUAACAUUUUUUUCUGCAAUUAUUUUGACAUUAAAAAAUGCAAAAUUAUUAUACAAUUGCAUUUGUGUUAUGCUUUCAGCAUUCUGCUUGUCCACUUGAACUGAAUUGUUCUUCUUCUAAUUCUUCAAGUAUGGUAUAUCUUGAUAUGAUUUAAUCAUGAGAUUUUUUGUUUUUUUUCCUUAUAGGUUACUAGUUUCAAGGCCAUGCUAGAACGUCGUUGUGGUAUUUGACUUGUUCUAACACAGAGAUAACUCUGGAAGCAUCAAUCAACUAUCUAUGAAAUUGUGUAAGUGUUAGAAUGUAAGCUGUUAGGAAGAGACUACAUUAGUUUCAGUCGAUUUGGUGUUUGUAUCAUAAUUUCCCUUAAGUUAUGAAGUAAAAGGAAUAAUAAGUUAUGUCGAGCGCCCCAUUAUACUGAAAUAACAAAAUAACUUUUUUUUCAUGACACAAUUUUACUGUUUAACAAGUUUGGUUUUUGAGUAUGCAUAUUUGCUCAUUUGCCCAAGUGAAACUAUUUUUCUAGUUUCUUUUCUGUUAUCUCUUUUGAUAAAAUAAAUAACCUUUUUUCCUGUAAUUAAGCUGUUUGGGAAGAGCCUACAUUAGUUUUAGGUGAUUUGAUGCUUUUCUCCAUAUAAUUCUUCUUCAUUUUUGUUUUGCCAGAGCUUCGAUCCAUAAUAUUGAUGCGAAAACCUAGGACUUGAAUGGAUCAACCAGUUUGAGGGCGAUCUGUCCGUUAGAUUGAAGGAUUCUCUGUUCAGCGGAAUGUCAUGAGAUCUGAUGUAGACCGAUGUCUUUUUGGACCGAAAUAAUGUCAUGAGACUUGUAUAGAUAGUAGAAGCUUCUCCAGUUUUUGUUGACUGUAGUAUUCAACAGUAUUCCUUUUUCCUUUUUAAUUUUCAGGGGACAGAUUGGAACAUUUUGUUAGAGAGGUCUAUAUAAGUUUCUUAAUAGACAUUCUCGUUACUUUCACUUUCAUUAAAACUCUCGCGAUUGAAGGACUUCAACAAAAAAAGUUACAAAAGACUGCUUUUUGUUGAAUCUUAUAGCAAAGAGUGCCCCAUUGGCUCUAAAAAUGUCCUUAGUAGCAUCUGUUCAUAUUUAUAGAUCUUGUAAUGAGCUGAUUCUCCAUUCUCAAAGAUCAAAAUGUGUGCGAAAACUGACUUUUACUGGCUCCUGUGUUUCGGAUUGAUGGUUGAAACAACGGCUUGGACUUCUUAUCUAAAUCGUAGACUGGAAAAGACUUGUAUGAGAUUUGACAGCAGAGGCCUUUCUGCACAAUGUUCAUAUGCUGUACCUGCCUUUCAUACAAACAAAAGUAAUAUAGGUUUAUGUCAUUUAAGUAACUCCUACUCUCUAGAAAAAAAAUUGAAACCUAAGUUUGAUUAAUCCAAAAAUAUAAUUUGGUUUACAAGAUCUAUCUUGUGUUUGUCUUAAUUGAUUGAUGUUCCAUGGUAGUAAAUAUUUCUUUGCAAAAUACUUCAUAUGCCAAAUAGAAAAUAAAAAAAUAAAAAAUGUGUAAGAGGAUUACAAGGUGGGAAAUUGAGCACGCUGGAGAAUUUUGUUGUGGGAAAACAUUGGAAAUCAUGGAGUUGUGCUUUUUGAAUAUUUCUCUAUCAAAACUUUGUUAAUUGAGGGGAAAGUUACCCAUUUAGUUGAGCAGAUAAAUAUAAUAGUAUCCACUAUUCAAAUAUGCAAUAAAGAUAUACGCUAUUUUGCAAGUAUAAGAAUAUACAAAGACUAGAGCAAAUAUAUAAAAUAUCUUUGAAUUUUGACUCAAGAUAGUCCUAUAUCUCUUAUAUGGACUUGUAAUAUACCACAUCAUAUCAUAUCACCAUUAUAUAUAUAUUAAAAGUGGGAAGCUCUUAACCUUAAAGUUGGAUUAUAUAUAAGUGGAAAGCUCUAAAGUAUAAAAUCAAAUUACCAUUUUACCCUUAAAACUUAUUUUUCAGAGCUAGAAAUUAAGGCUUGUUUUUGUUUUGUUAAUGUGCAGUGAACAGAAACAUCUAUGGUAAAUAAUAAUAAUAAUAUAUUUACUAUAAUAAUAUAGUUAAGUAUCUUUCAUUAUUUACCUGAUAUUAAUAUAUUCUUAUUAAACUUCAUCUAUUGAGCAAUUAUCAAUUAAGCUCAAUUAAUCUAAAGUUGAAAAGCCUGUUUUUUUCCGUUUUUUUUUACAAUAUAUAUAACAUUUAUUUUGAUGAUGAACAUUAAUUAGGAGGAAAAAGAAGAGACCAUUUUGUAAAAAUGAAUUUGGUUGCAGCUCUAUUUCAUCAUUCUUGCAACAUUCACUCAUAUGCUUUCUGAUUGUACUGAUUAUGAUUUAUGUAUUUCUUUUUCCAUUUAUAUUAUUACGAUUAAAGACUUAAGAAGGAUAUGUAUUGUGUAUGUUUUUUUUGGUAUGUUUUCUCUCUAUUAGAUUUUAAUAAAUUUAACUUUUUAUGAAUUUCUGAUUGUCGUACAUUUGUAUUUUUAUUUGGGAUCAAAUUAGCCAUUUGUGACUUUUGCAGAGUUUGCUAACUACUAACUAAAGUUCAAAAUUUAAAGUUGGUUGAUUAAAAGGAAUUAAUUUUUAACAUUAAUAUACGUCCUUCACUGGUGUUUCGUGCCACACUUUUAAAAAAUAUUUAUAAUUGUUGCAUUUUAUUGCUCAUUACAUACAUGUUUUCAUAAUUCAAAUAAAUCUAUAGAAAAUUACAUGGGACAAACGUGCAACUCGCGUGCCCAGAAACUAGUUUAUUUAUAAAAGGAACAUGAAGAUAUGUGUGAUUCAUCAAUGCGACGCUUUAGGAUGUUUCGAUAUCUUGUAUAUGAAUGAUGGUUUGCUCAUUUGGUAAAAUUACAUAAGAAUUGGAGAAAUUUGAUGCUUUUCACAACUGUUAGAUUUUUCAUGUUUACGAGGAAAAAUUAUAAUUUAAAAAAUCAAAAUUGCAUGUCCAUUUAGUCAAAUCUAUUUAGGGAUAUGCCAUCGCCGAGCUCAAAAUUGUAGUGAACCUGUGUUAUGUAUUAAUUGUAACAUUUUUUUUUACGUUCCUCUCCUAUUUGGGUUAUUUCAAUGUGUGACACGACAAAAAUGCUUGGUAGCCUAAGACCAUCUCCAACCCAUCUCUAUUUUACUCUCCAUUCUCUAUAUUUGGAGAGUAAAAUAGAGAAUGGGUUCUCCAACCACUCUCUAUUUCACUCUCUAUUCUUCAAUUAUAGAGAGGUGAAUAGUAGUUCUCCAAAUUUGGAGAACUACUAUUCACCUCUCUAUNNNNNNNNNNNNNNNNNNNNNNNNNNNNNNNNNNNNCCUCUCUAUUUUACUUUUUGAUUAUUAUAAUAUUAUUUCUAUUAUAUUACUAUCAUUUGUAAUUAUUUUCUAAUGUAACAUAACAUUUAAAAAUAUAUUAUCAACAAGUUACUACUUCCGCCAAAUUAAUAAUUUUUCUAUUUUAUUUUUUUAAAAGAAAUGGUCACUUUAAAUAUGUAAUUUAAAGUUAUUUUAAUAUUAUUUAUAUUAUAUAAGAUUAUUAAUUAUGUCUCUAAUAUUUGUAAUUAUUUUCUAAGUAAUAUAACAUCUAAAACAUUAUUGAUAAGUAUACUACUUCCAUCCCGAAUUAACAAUUUUUCUAAUUUAAUUUUUAAUUUUUUUUUUGUCAUUUAAAUAUGUAAUUUGGAUUAGAAUUAUUUUUCAUUAUGAAGUAUGCACAAAAAUUACAUGAUAAUUCAAACAAUCUACUUUUAUGUUAUAAUGAUAAAUUAUUAAACUACACUUUUUAAAGAGCAUGCAAAUAUUUGAUGCAAUAGUUCAAAAUGGAAUAGGGGAAGUAAAUUAGUACACGAAAUAAUUGGACACAAGAUGAAAUUGUUAAUUUAAAUAAGAUUUAGCUACACAUAAAAAAUAAGGAUAAAAAAUGCUUAUUUUGAACUCCGUAAUACAUUAAUAGAACAUUCAUGAGUAGGGGUGUGCAAACACCGAAUCAACCGAUAAAAGUGUUAUGGUUUAUUGUUAUUGGGUUAUUGGGUUAACGGUUUUUUAAUGGUUUUAUAAAAAAAAUUAUUGGGUUAUCGGUUCGGUAUUGGUUUUUAAUAUUGGGUUAUUGGGUAAACCGAUAACCCAUUAAGACUAGUAAUUUACUACUUUGUACAUAAAUAUUAUAUAUUAAUCUUAAUACCUUAGUAGUUACUACUAUCUUUGUCCUUUAGCCUUCAAUUCACACUUCACAAUGGAUUUGAGUUCACAAUUUCACAUUAUAAAAANNNNNNNNNNNNNNNNNNNNNNNNNNNNNNNNNNNNNNNNNNNNNNNNNNNNNNNNNNNNNNNNNNNNNNNNNNNNNNNNNNNNNNNNNNNNNNNNNNNNNNNNNNNNNNNNNNNNNNNNNNNNNNNNNNNNNNNNNNNNNNNNNNNNNNNNNNNAUAAAUUUUACGAUAAUACAAUAUUUAUGAUGCAAUUAUAUUUCAUCAAUGAGUUCAUUUUUAUUUGAAUUGUUCGUUAAUAUGUAUUAUAUAUAAUAUGUAUUGCAAUUUAUGUUAUUUAGAAAUUUAGAAUAAAAUAUAAUUUUAUAUUAAUGAAAAAUUUGAAAAAAAAAAAUUGUAUUACGUAAAAAUUAUAGAGUGAUUAUUUGCAAAAAGAAGAAAUGAUUUAUAUUAUGAAAUAAGAAAAUAAGAAUGAAAUAUAAAUAAUAAUAUAAUAUUGAGGAGAGAGAAAAAGAUUCCUUUUUAGAGAGUAAAAUAGAGAAUUGGAUUGGAGUUGAUUGUCUGAAAAAAUAGAGAACUCUAUAUUUGGAGAGUAAAAUAGAGGAUUGGGUUGGAGAUGCUCUAAAUGGUUGUUAAUCUUUUUCUUUGGCCUACUGUCAUCGGUCCGCCCUCCAUCAUUAAUGUCACACAUAUGAUAUGGAUUUCUUUUUGUUUUUAAAUAAAUGACUACAUCAUAGGUCUUUUUUUAAUAUAUUUUAUGGAAUAAGGCAUCAAAGACUAGAAUAAAGCUGAUGUCGUUUUUACUAAAGCAUCCAAUAGGAAUGAAGCACUAUCAUUAAUUAAUAAAGCACUAAUUGUUGUUUACCUACCAAUACCAUUAAUUAAUAAAUUAAUAAUGCAUUCAGAACUCAUAAUAUACACAUUCCAGUCUGUUUGUGCCAUUGCCAACUAUAAUUAUUGUUUGAUCUCCUCACCCAUCUCUAUGUACUAGACAACACCUUGUGCCAUAUAGUAUUUUGAUUUACAUCAAUCAGUUAACAAUCGAUUGAUCUACCAUUGAGCUAUUGAGAAAUAACAAGAGAUUCGAUAAGUUAAUAUUGAGGUAAGUUCCAUUGAUUCAUAAUUUAGUUUCAUACUUAAAGGAAAUCUUUAUCCUCUGAAUCUAUAUACUCCCCCUUCAUCAUUUGGUGAUUGUUUUUUCCUUUUAAUUUCCUAUAAUCCCUUCAUCUAACACCUGAAAAAUACAAUGAAGGAUACACAAACACAAGUCAUAAAGAAUAAAGCUAACAAAUAUUUUCAGUUCCACCAAGUCUACUACAGUCAAAUAAACGAAAGAAGGAAUUAAUGAAAAAGGAGAAAUAAAUUAUACAAGACACUAGUACAGUAGAUUGUACUAAUAUAUAAAACUUUUAGCUUUUGAAGUUUAGCUAGACCUAGAUAUUAUAUUUUUAUAAGGCAUCAUAGCCAGAUCUAUUUUCGUUUGCACUCCUGAUCCAUGCUCCAAUUGUGAAAAAGUUAGAUGAUUUUUUAAAAUUAUCAUAGAUUAGUCUCUAGAAUAGUUUAGUGUAGUAUCAUCAUAUCAUAUUAUCAUGUAUUAUAUCAUGUAGGCAUAAUACAUAAAUAUGCCCUUUAACAAUUGGCCUCAGCUCAUAUUUAUGUCUUUCAACUUUGAGUGUGCACAAGUAGACACUUAAACUUGCAUAAAAUUGAAUAAGUAAACACAUGCAUCCUACUGGCAAUUUAUGUCCUAUGUGGUGUCCUACGUGUAUUAUGCCACAUAAGACUCAUGUGUCUACUUAUUCAACUUUAUACAAGUUCAAGUGUCUACUUGUGCACACUCAAAGUUGGAGGGCAUAAAUGUAAAAUGAUGCCAAAUUAAGGGGCACAUUAUUAUUAUUAUUAUUAUUAAAAGUGGGAAGCUCCAAAGUGUAAAGUUGAAAUACCAUUUUACCCCUUUACUAAAUAUUUUUGGGAAAAUGCAUAAAUACCAACCAGCCUAUGCCCAAAAUCUCUGAGACACACCUAACCUUUACUAAGGUCCUAUUACCCCCCCCCCCCCAAACUUAUUUUAUAUAUAAUUUUCUACCCUUUUUCGACCUACGUGGCACUAUCUUGUGGGCCCAGUGCGUGUUGACAAUUUUUUCAAGGAUAGUGUCACGUAGGCUGAAAAGGAGUAGAAAACUAUAUAUAAAAUAAGUUCGGGGGGAGGGGGGUAGUAGGACCUUUGUAAAUGUUAGGUGUGUCUCAGGGAUUUUGGGCAUAGGUUGGGGGUACUUAUGCAUUUUCCCAAUAUUUUUUUAGAAAUCAUAUAUUAUAUAUUAUUAGUUAUUAUGUAUUAAAUAUUAUGUUAUCAUUUAUCAUUAUCAUUCAUUCAUAUUCAAUCAUCCUUAUCUAUAAAUGUUAAUUUAUUUUUUGUUAGAAUAAAGAAGACAAAUGAAGAGUUGUGGAAAUGAGUAGUUAUGAAAAGCUACAACAAAUAAGUAUAAUAAAAAGGUCUUUCGCGAGCUUGCAAUAAUGGGAUGUUAGAAAUUUACUUUUUUUAUGAAAUAGUAAAAUGCCUGUAGAAUUUGAAAAGUUAAUAUUUCAUUAAAAACAUAAUAAAAGAUUGCAUUCAUCUAUUUAAACAAUCAAUCCUUACUAUUAAAACAUAAAGAAUGUGAAGAGUUACAUUGAAUUAAAAAAAAGACCAUAAUCAUCUAUAAAAUCAAAUAUAUACGGAUCACUUUUAUAGAAAAAAAGGAGAGAAAAAAUCAUGAAUUUUAUGGAUUAAUGUUGGAGAAGAGAAUUUUGUUCUCAUUUUUUUUCUUGGAAAAAUCUGAUUCAUAUGUCCAUCUCAAAUUUGUUUGCUCUAAUAUAUUGCCAUGCAUAUUUUUAAUUUUGUUUGCUAACUAAUUUUUAUUUGUUUCUCCACAUUACAGAUUUAACUUUGUGCACUCUUCACUUCUCAAUCACUAAUAUCAGGUACUCAUUUUCUAACAAUUAUUAUUUUACAAAAAUAUAAUAUAAUUUAUAGGAAAAUGUAAUCUAUGUCUAAGAUUUAUGAGAAGUAUAAAGAUAUUAACGUUAUAUAUAUAUAUAAAUGAUUAUUAGUCCUUUGAACUUUUUAAUUUUUUUUUUUGAAUAUUUACACAUGGUGAUAGAUUCUUUUAUAUUUAUUACAUUAUAAUUAUAUUUGCAAAAGUUUACUAAAAUUAUUCUGUUAAAUUCACAUAUAUUAUAAUUUAUAAUCUUGAAUUAAACAUAGGAUGCAUGUAAGCAUUUGAAAACAUAAUGAUUAUGUUGUUCAUGUUCACAUUCAGACUAUUUGUUGUUGAAAUAUCAAAAGACAAAAAUAUGUCAUAUAUCAUAAAAAUUGCACAAGAAAAAGGAAGGACAAAUCAAUUCAAUUUAUUAUAUAUAGUUACUUUACUUUUAAAUUUUUAAUUAAUCAUUAUAUACAUGUUUAAUAUUAUCUAUAUUAAUUUAAAGGUUAGAUAGGUUGACAUUGAACAAAGGUGCAACACACGUUUUCAUAGACUAGUAUUACUAAAAGUGAGAAGCUCUAGAUACAAAAUUGAAUUUUCAUUUUACCCUUACACGAAAUAAAAAUAUUAUAAAAUAUUCAAUUUAUAAAAUAUUUAUUAAUCAAAAUAUUUUAAAGCCUUUUCACGUCAUAGAUUUAUUGCAACCUAAAGAGUGACGUGUUUAGUAAGUAAUACAUUGAUCCGUUAUUAAUUUAAUUAGUACGCAAUUAAUAAAUUUUUAAAGAAAUUAGAUAGCAAAGUCAUACUAUAAUAAUAUAAUAAUAAAAGUGGGAAGCUUCAAAUACAAAGUUGGAUUACCAUUUUACCCCUAGACUAAAUUAAAAUAUUAUAAAUAUUCAAUUAAUUAAAUGUUUAUUAAUCAAAAUAUUUUAAAGUCUUUUCACCUCCUAAAUUUAUUGCAAGCUAAAGAGUAAUGUGCAAACUGGUAAAUAUUUUUUUUUGUCAUAUUAAUAUUGCUUAAUGAAUCAGCCACAAUAAUCCCACUCCCACUCUGAGUGUAUAUAUAUAUAUAUAUAUAUAACUAAAGUAUAUAGAAGACAAGAGCAUUUUGAAUAUAAAAUGCCAUGUUAUUCUUAAAAAUUAUACAAUAUUUACUGCAUAAACAUUUUAGAACUAAAAGUAUAUUAGAAGACAAGAGCAUUUUGAAUAUAAAAUGCCAUGUUAUUCUUAAAAAUUAUACAAUAUUUACUGCAUAAACAUUUUGAACUAAAAGUAUAUAGAAGACAAGAGCAUUUUGAAUAUAAAAAUGCCAUGUUAUUCUUAAAAAAUUAUACAAUAUUUACUGCAUAAACAUUUUGAACUAAAAGUAUAUAGAAGACAAGAGCAUUUUGAAUAUAAAAAUGCCAUGUUAUUCUUAAAAAAUUAUACAAUAUUUACUGCAUAAACAUUUUCAAUAUUACAAUUUACAAUCUUAAAUAUAUUAGUGGUUCCAAUGUAUUAUAAGUAUUUAAUUAGUUUUUUGAAAAGAAAAAUUGUCAUCAAUAUUUUUUCUAAUAAAAACGAUAGUAAAAUGAUAAUAAAAAUCACACUUUAUAAUAAAAUAUUAUUAUUUUUAUCAAAUAAUAUAGUAACUUAUUUAAAUUGUCUUAAUUAACAAUACAAUAUCAUAUGCACCAAUGGUUAUUUUUACAUAAUGUCAAACAAAUAAAUUCGAAUUAAACACUUAAUUUGAUGAUAUUCUUUUCACAUUUAGAGUAGUAUAAACAUGAAAAAUAAAAUUAAAUUAUAUCUUAUUUUUAAGAUAAUAAAUAUUAUUUUUAAUUAUUUAUUUUUAAUACAUAUGAAAAAUAAAUUAACACAAAGAAAUAGAUAAUCUUUUUAUUUCACUUUAUUUGAAAAUCCGCAUUUGAUUAUGAAAAUUACAAAUAUAACUUAAAGUUGUAUUUGAAAUUUGAAAAACAUUCAAAACCUUGUUAAUACUUUAAGGGGCCGUUUGGUUACCGUAUAAGAUGCAUUUUUUUCUCAUAUAUAAAAAGUUGUAUCUGUUUUACUAUGUUUGGUAGAAAUUUUGUAUUAGGUAGAAAAACCAACAUGACUUACCAUGUUUGGUUGAUACGUUUCUCAAAAUUGUAUAAAAGUUAUUCUUGUAUUAAUUCUAUACAGUGUAUUGUUACAUUUUUUGUAAUCCUACAUAAUUGAUACCUACAUAACUUAUGAGGGAAUCUAUGUAUAAAUUAUACAUGAUAAAAGAUGGAAUAAGUUAUGAGGGUAUUAGUUAUACAUGUAUUAAAAAAACUACACAUUUAUCCCUAUUACCUUUUUAUAUUGAAAACUCUAGAUAAAACUUUACAUAACUAUUCUAUUUUCCUAGCUAUUUUUGUUUCUUAUUUCUUUUGUAUACGAACAAUUUUUUAUUUGUUUUCAUUUGAAAUCAAAAUAUAAAUAUUUUAUUAAUAUUAUGAAUCGGAAUGUAUAAUUUUGACAACGCAUAUGCUAAUCAUAUAUUAUCACCAUAUAUUACUAAAUAUAUUCCACAUAUUUAAUUAUUAUGUAUUGUUUUUUUAUUUGGAAUAUAAAUUUAUAUAUAACUCAUAUAUUUGGUAUACUAAAAAUGUACAAAUAAUACAUGCAGCAUCUUGAUAGAAAUUUACAUUAUAUAAAAUAGGAUUUUAUAAUGUACUUGAAAUAUAUUUGUGGUAUUUUAUUUUUAUAAGCUUUAAACAUUAAAAAAAAAUAGAGAGAGAAAAAAUAAAUAGAAUUCCCACUUAAGUAUAGAGAAGAUUUUUUGGAAGUUUUUUUUUUUUUUUUUUUUUUGGGAAAUUAUACGAUUUGCUUGCUUAUUUAUUUGUAAAUAAUAUAUUCAAUAAUUAAUAAUUUAUGUAUUGUAAUCUCUACAUAAUUAAGUAAUACCUACAUAACUAAUAUUUGCAUAACUAACACCAACAUAAUUAAUACCACAUAACUAAAUCCUGCAUAACUAAAUCAUGCAUUACUAAAAACUGCGUAACUCUAACCAAUAACCAAACAGCCCCUAACUAUAUUAUCCUUUUUAAAAUUUUAUCACAAAUUCUUUAUUCUUAUAAAAAUGACCCCAUUUGAAUUAUAUUUCAUAUUAGUUUAUUUAUUUAAAAAAAAAAACACAUUCAAAUAAUCAAAUAUAAUUUGCAAAAUCAAUAGCUUGACACAAGUUCAACUUCAAAAAAUUUAAAUAAAGUGAUUUUUUUUUUGUUAUAGUAUGUGGUAGUUCUUAUAUGAGAUCUAAUCUAUGACAUUAUACAACUAUCUAUUUUGAGAUAUUACUUUUUUUUAGUGCAAUUUGGUUGUACGUCUCAGGUAUAUUAGUCAAGUAAUUUUUAGAAACUGAGGAAUAUAAACCAUAUUUAGAAAAACAUAAUAUAUAAAUAUAUCUUUUAACUUGGCUUCGUCUGACAUCUAUGACAUUCAACUUAGGGAGUGCACAAGUAAGCACUUAAAAUUUUAUAAAGUUGAAGAAGUAGACACACGCGUCCUACGGGGAAUAACACACGUGGGAGCCACAUAAAAUAUCGCAUAGGACGUGAAUUAUAUUGUCACGUAGGACACAAGUGUCAACUUGUUCAAUUCUAUACAAGUUUAUGUGUCUACUUAUGGAUAUCUAAAAUUGAAGGACAUGUUAGAUGAAACAAAUUAAAUGACAUAUUUAUAUAUUAUGCCUUUAGAAAAAGUAUAUUUAAAUUCUAAAUAUUUUUUUGCAUAAAAUUUAACCAAACAUGACUUCAACUAUAAAUUUUUUAAAUAAAAUAAACAGUAUUUUUUCAUGAUCAAACCACACUAAGAAAGGAAAUGAUUAAAUGCCCUCAAAUUUGAAUUUUUGGUAUGAAAAAAUCUCAUUAAAAACUAUACAUUCAAAAAUAAAAAAGAAUUUUUUUUAAAAUGUAUCAGCUUGAAUGUACAUGGUUUUGAAGUAAAUCAAUAAAUGGGGUCCAUGUAACUUUGCAAUGAUUUCUUUUACUCCUCCCAAUGUAUUGGUACACGUGUGCCCAUUAAAAUCCACAACUAUUGACUUAGUGAUGGAUUCAUUGGGAAUUACAUAAAUUUUGGUUGGUUUUUCUGAAAAUUUUAAUACUUUAUGCACAAUGUACACUUAAACUAAGCUUGAAAUAUUUUUUGUUUGACAAAACUACCCUUGGUCGUCCAGGGCUUCACAUUUCUAUAUAAUAGAUAGAAAAAUAUAUACAUGUCAUGCUUCUUUUUUCCUUCCACAUAUUCCUCAUUUGCAUGUUAAUUUUUUUAGUUAUUAUUGAAGAUUUUUGUUUGUGCUUAUGAGUUUCAUGUUAUAUUCUUCUUUUCGGAAAAGGGCCUAAAAUACCCUCAAACUAUUGGAAAUGGUAUAAAAUUACCCUCCAUCCACCUAUUGGCUUCCAAAUUAUUUUCUUUUCCUAGUUAAGUUUGAUACUAAAAAUAAAAUUCAUAAAAUAAAUUCAUUUUCUCAUUAAGUUGUAUUAAUUUAAUAGGAUAGUGACUUAAAAUUUUAUUUUUUAGAGGUCAAUCGAAAAACAUGUAAGAAAUUGAAUUAUUUUUUAUUGAACCAUUUUCAUUUACUAUCUUGAAUAUUUUAGUAGCUUUAAAUAAAUUAUCUUAAUAAAUAACGUUCUAUCACUCUUAUAACAUGUAAAAAUUAAAAUUGAAUUUAAACCCACAUAAAAUCACAUAUACCUGCAACCCGUCCCGCAUUAGUUUUAAAAAAACCCACUUCAAUCCGCCCCGCACAACCUUAAACUGGCCAUGCAUAGCUUUAAACCCACUCCACCCCACAUGCGUCCCGCCCCAUUGUCAUCCCUAUUGAUAUCUAUCUAUUGGCUCUCAAAUACCCUUCCAUCCACCUUUGAGUCCAAUAUUGACCACUUUUAUAGUGGAUUAUCAUUUAAAAAUAAUUUUUUUAAAUGAGUGGCGACCAUCUAUUGGUUAUAAUUUAAUAACUUAAAUUAAUUUACAAACUCACUCAUUACUAAUUAUACCCGACCCAAAUUGACUACACUCAACUCAAGUUAACUAUACCCGCCCCAAAUUACAUUUACCCCACCGAUUUAAACAAAUACACCCUUCAUUCCCAACAAUUCAUGUCCUCUUCCAACCUUACAUUCCCAAUAUAUUUGCUUACAAUCUCGAAAAACUCUACCCAAGUACACUCAUGUAUCACCACAAAAAAUCAUGAGUGUUUUGGUGAUUUUUUUAUGGUGAUACAUGUGUGUAUUUAGGUAGUGUUUUUCGAGAUUGUAGGCGGAUAUAUUCGGGAAGAAGAUUGGAAGAUGAAGUGAAAUGUUGAGAAUGAACGGUGUAUUUGUUUUAAUCGGUGGGGUAAAUGUAAUUUGGGACGAGUGUAAUUAAUUAAUUUGGGUCGGGUGUAAUUAAUAAUGGGUGAGUUUGUAAAUUAAUUUAAGUAAUUUAACUGUAUCCAAUAGAUAAUCGUGUCGUUUUGAAGUUUUUAUUUAAAUGAUAAUCCGUAAUAAAAGUAGUUGAUAUUGGAUCCAAAGAUGGAUGACAUGGGUAUUUGGGAGCCAAUAAAUGGAUGAAGGGUAGUUUUGUACCAUUUUCAAUAGUUCAAGGGUAUUUUAGGCCCUUUUCCGUUUUCUUUUUUAUACUCUAUAAUAAUUAUUAUACAAUCAAUUUUUUUAGUGGAAGAAGACUUUGGUGUAGAGGAAGAAGGAGCAAAAAUAACAAUGGCCGAUCCAGUAAUUGGUGCUACUGUUCAAGUUGUGCUUGAGAAGCUGCUUUCUCUCACUAUUGCGGAGGCCAAAACUUUAAGGAACUGCAAGAAAAAUCUCAGAAUGCUCACAAAAUAUGUAUCCAUCAUCCAAGCUUUCAUUCAUGAUGCUGAAAGACGACAAGUCGAAGAUCAGGCUGUGGAAGAAUGGCUUAAGAUGCUUGAGAGAAUUGCUGAAGAUGCUGAAAAUGUGUUUGACAAAUUCACAUAUGAAUCUCUCAAAGCACAAGUGAUGAAAAACCGAGCCAAACUGAUGGAAAAAGUCCGUAGCUUCUUUUCUAAUAAUGUUUUCAAUUACAAAAUGUCUCGAAAAAUCAACAACAUCAAUGAAGAGUUGAGGGCUAUCAAUCAGUUAGCCAAUGACCUCGGUCUCCAAGCACUGACUGUUCCUUCUCACAAAAUACUACAAAUCCGAGAAACAGACUCCGUAGUAGUUGCUUCGGAUGUUGUUGGUAGAGACAAAGAUGUUGCUGAAAUAAAGGAGAAGAUUUUGAAUAUCAGAGAGGAAGUUGUUCUGUGCACCAUUCCCAUAGUGGGUAUGGGGGGGUUAGGGAAAACUACAGUGACCAAGAGAAUUUUCAAUGAUGAUCACAUCAAGCAGCACUUCGAAAAGAGAGCUUGGUUGUGCCUACCUGAAAUGUCAGAAAUUAAGAGCUUUCUUGAACUGAUCCUCGAAUCAUUGACACAGAGGAAAGUUGAGGUCCAGAGCAGAGAUAUAAUAGUCAAGAGACUACAAGAUGAAUUAGGAGGAAAAAAGUAUUUGCUGGUCCUGGAUGAUUUAUGGCGUGUUGACUCUACAUUGUGGCACGAUUUCGUGGACACCUUGAGGGGAAUAAAUACAUCCAGAGGAAACUGCAUUCUCGUGACUACUCGUAUGAAGCAGGUUGCCUCCAUAGUAGCAGCAGAUCUUCAUAUGUUGGGGAAAUUAACAGAUGAUCAUUGUUGGUCCAUUUUCAAACAUAAAGCAUUUGUUGAUGGGGAAGUUCCAAAAGAAAUGGUGAGCAUGGAAAAGAGGAUUGUUGAAAUAUGUCAAGGUCUACCGUUGGCUGCAAGUGUAUUGGGAGGCCUUUUAUGCAACAAGAAAAGACAUGAAUGGCAGGCAAUUCUUGAUGGCAAUCCCCUUGUAGGUGAAGAUGAUAAUGGGGAAAAUAGGACAAUGAAAAUCCUAAAACUCAGCUAUGAUUAUCUACCAUCCCCACAUCUGAAGAAAUGUUUUGCUUACUUUGCAAUGUUUCCAAAAGAUUUUAAGUUUAAAAAGGACCAACUAAUCCAACUCUGGAUGGCAGAAGGCUUUCUUCGUCCAUGUCAAGAGACCCCUGUGAUGGAAGACGUUGGGAACAAGUUUUUCCAACUCUUGUUGCAAUAUUCCUUGCUGCAAGAUGUUGAGCUAGAUGACCUCAAUAUUAUAAGACGUUGUAAGAUGCAUGAUCUUGUGCAUGAUUUGGCUGGAGAUGUCUUAAAAUCUAAACUAUUUGAUCCGAAGUGCGUUGUAGGAGAAAAACUUUCUCAAGUUCGAUACUUUGGAUGGGACUCACCAAGUGAUCAAAUAGAUAAGAUAUAUGAGCCAGGACAUUUGUGCACAUUGUUCUGGAAAACAAAUAUAUCUGAAGAUAUGCUGUUGAACUUUCAGUUCUUGAGGGUUUUAAAUUUGUCCAGGUCAGGCAUCAAGAAGGUGUCAGCCAAAAUCGGCAAGCUUAUAUACUUGAGAUAUCUUGAUCUCUCCGACACCAUGAUCAAAGUCUUACCCAAUUCCAUUUGCAAGCUCUACAAUUUACAGACAUUUAGUGUCCAUAAUUGUUCUUCACUCAUGAAGCUUCCAAAAGGAAUGGCAAAUAUGAUAAGUUUGAGACACAUAUGUUGCGGCCAUCAUUACCAAUCAGCUUUUUGUUUUGGUGGUUGCGGAUCAAGGUACCAAGGUAGUGAUCAGUUUCAGAUGCCACUUAAUAUGGGGCAAUUGACUAGUCUUCAAACACUAGAGUUUUUCAACGUAGGUUUAGAGAAAGGUCGUCAAAUAAAAGAAUUAGGUCGUUUGAAAAACCUUAGAGGUGCAUUGAUAAUCGGCUGUCUCCAAUUAGUCGGAAAUAAAGAAGACGCUCGAACAGCAUAUUUACAGGAGAAACCAAAUAUCUACAGGCUGGCAUAUUUGUGGUCCCAUGAUGAAUCAGAAGGCAGUGAGAUCAAUGAUGAACAUGUGUUGGAUGGUCUUCAACCGCAUCCUAACUUGAAAACCUUAGUAGUUGAGAACUAUUUGGGGACUAUAUUACCUUCAUGGUUCAGUGAAGAAUUGCUGCCAAAUUUGGUCAAGUUGAAAUUAAGUGAUUGCAAAAGGUGCAAAGAAAUUCCAUCCCUUGGACAACUGAAGUUCCUUCGGAAUCUUGAACUGACAGGAUUCCUUGAAUUGGAAUGCAUCGGACCUACAUUUUACGGUGUUGAUGUUAAUGAUAAUAGAUCAAGCAGCAAUAAUGGCAAUAUCCAAGUGUUCCCGUCAUUGAAAGAACUACUGUUGAAGGAUAUGCGUAGCCUUAUUGAGUGGAAGGGAGAUGAAGUUGGAGUAAGAAUGUUUCCUGGGCUUGAGAAGUUGACGAUUACAGACUGUUCACUGUUAAAAAGUACUCCUACUCAAUUUGAAAUCCUGCGUGAAUUAAGAAUUGAAGGAGUUGACAGUGAAAUGCCAUUGUUGAACUUGUGCAGCAACUUGACAUCUCUUGUGAAGCUUGAUGUUUCUAAAGUGAAAGAGCUCACUUGUCUUCCAGAUGAGAUGCUACGCACUAACGAUUCUCUUCAACACCUGUGGGUCACAAACUGCGGAAAGUUUCAUGAAUUGCCACAAAGCUUGUACAAUCUCCAUUCUCUUAAGAGAUUACAAAUACGCAGCUGCAAAAAUUUCAGUUCUUUUCCUGUUCCCAAUGGAGAGAAUUAUUUGACUUCCCUCCAAUGUCUUCAGUUAGUUUCUUGUGAUGGAUUGACCAGUUUACCAAGUGGAAUGCUAGACAAUUGCCGGUCUCUACAAAAUUUGAGGGUCAGCUACUGUAACAACGUAGUUUCCUUGCCUUUACAUGUGUGGGAAAUGCCUUCACUUUCAGAUUUGAAUAUAUCACGUUGUCCCAAAUUGAUUAGUGUACCCACAGGGGGCCUACACCGCCUCACCGGAUUAGGGAGAUUGGGAAUUGGUCCUUUCUCAGAGAUGGUGGAUUUUGAGGCAUUCCAAUUGAUUUUUAAUGACAUUCAGCAGCUGUUGUCCCUUCCUACAUUGUUUGUGUACGGACGUUUGCACUGGGAUUCUCUGCCCAAUCAGCUUAUGCAACUCUCUGCCCUAAAAGAGAUCUAUAUAUUUGAUUUUGGAAUCGAGGUUCUUCCGCAUAGUCUUUGCAAUCUUACUUCUCUUGAAAGAUUACAUCUAGAGAUGUGCAAUCGGCUACAACAUGUGGACUUCUUAGAUUCCAUCCCAAAAUUACGGGAUCUCUGGAUCCAAGAUUGUCCAUUGUUAGAAGUUCUGUCGGAUGGGCUCGGCAACCUUGGCUCUUUGGAAAAAGUAAGUUUGAUGGUGUGCAAGAAACUAGAGCGUCUGCCAUCCAGAGAUGUCAUGCAACGCCUCACCAAAUUAAGGAUCCUGGAUAUUUAUGACUGCCCACAGUUAGAAGAAAGUUGCACCAAUAGGAGAAGCCCAAACUCCCAGUGGUCCAACAUUUCCCAUAUUCCAAAAAUUAUAGUAGGUCUGUGGGUAAUUCAGGAGUCAGGACAGUAAGUCUCUGUUACUCUUUCAGUUUCUGAGUUUUAAUACUACUUUUUUUACUGCUAUCAAUUACAUCUGUGCUAUGCUUCCAGCAUUUUGCUUGUCAACUUGAACCGAAUUGUUCUUCUUCUAAUUCUUCAAGUAUGUCAUAUCUCCAUAUGAUUUAAUCAUGAAUGAAAAAUUAUGGAUUUUUUCCUUAUAGGUUACUAGCUCCAAGGUAACGUUGCUGUGGUAAAUCAAGCCAAAUCCUAUGAGCAGCAGGCAAUUACUUUAGGUAAAUUUUCAUUUAGGUAAUCUACUAGUUUUUUGUCUUUCUCUUUGUUGGGGACCAAUUUUUGGAGUUCUAUGCUGAUGAAUACAACAUUACCUUCCUAAAAAAGAUGUUUUAAUCAUGAAAAUUUAUGUUUCUGCUCAGAGGUUACUAGGUACAAGGUCAUGGUAGAACGUGGUUGUGGUAUAUCAAGUCAAAAUCCAUGAACAGCAAUCGCCUUAGGUAUUUUUAUUUAGUUGUUAUAGGAAUGCUAUAACAAGUUUGUCAAGUUCCUUUUUUCUCAUGAUACUACUUUACUGUUUAACAGGAUUUGUUAUGUUUCAUAGAGGAAUCACCACUGUUAUUUUGAAGAACACAAUCUUCAGCUAUAGACUCAUUACGGAGCACUUUUUCACAAGUAUUUGGGUACUGAACAACCUUUUCGGGAACUGAAGUCUACAUAUGAAACAUCAAAAAACUCAAAGUGUAUAGGGUCCUCAAUGAGAAGCUACACUGGUCUAUCCUCUGUCUUUGCAUGGCCGUGUUUGUCUUUUUAUUAUCCAUGUAAGUUUCUGCAAUGUUAUUUGAUGAAUAAAUUCUGAUAUCUACUCUCAUUGGGACAUUGGUAUUUAACUUUCUAUGUAAUUGUGGAACUAUUAGAAUGUAAGCUGUUUUAUCCCUUUUGCCAGAGCUUCAUUCUUCAUAA